AUGAACGCUGGCGGCGUGCCUAAUACAUGCAAGUCGAGCGAACGGACGAGAAGCUUGCUUCUCUGAUGUUAGCGGCGGACGGGUGAGUAACACGUGGAUAACCUACCUAUAAGACUGGGAUAACUUCGGGAAACCGGAUCUAAUACCGGAUGAUAUUUUGAACCGCAUGGUUCAAAAGUGAAAGACGGUCUUGCUGUCACUUAUAGAUGGAUCCGCGCUGCAUUAGCUAGUUGGUAAGGUAACGGCUUACCAAGGCAACGAUGCAUAGCCGACCUGAGAGGGUGAUCGGCCACACUGGAACUGAGACACGGUCCAGACUCCUACGGGAGGCAGCAGUAGGGAAUCUUCCGCAAAGGGCGAAAGCCUGACGGAGCAACGCCGCGUGAGUGAUGAAGGUCUUCGGAUCGUAAAACUCUGUUAUUAGGGAAGAACAUAUGUGUAAGUAACUGUGCACAUCUUGACGGUACCUAAUCAGAAAGCCACGGCUAACUACGUG
rnacentral:rRNA from 1 species